rnacentral:lncRNA from 1 species
UAAAAUUACUCGGCACUAAGAUGCGUCCCUCCUCGAAGAAUAUUAUUUACCAAAAACUCAAUUUCUGAAAAUUUGGCGGUCACGUCCUUCUUCAAAUUACCUGUUGAAUUUUGUUUCGUGGCAAUGAUUUACGUAUCCUAAUUUCCAGGUAUGACUGGUCUUCCGCUGUCGGGUGGCACAGGGACCGCGAAUGCGGGGGGUGCGUGCCCUUACGCUCCCCCAACCACCCCGUACAUGUACCACCAUCGGCCCGCUGAAUCCUGCAACGUCAUGUCCUCUAGCAUAGCCUCCUUGAGACUCAAAGCCAAGCAACAUUCUUCAGGUUUCAAUUACUCACCCGCGUUAACACCUUCCAUUUCUACAACAGCUGAGAACUCCUCGACGUCGAGUCGGAACUCCUCGGCCUCCUCGAGCGGGGGCCUCUCGGCGUGCCAGUACGCCAUGCCCAUCACCCCGACCUCCGUCUCGGUCGACGCCGGCGGCAACCGCACCCCCGUCUGACAAAUGGUCUCCUCCACCAACCACCGCUACAACGUCGAGGACCUCAUCGACUUCAACAAACAACAGCAGCAGCAGCAACAGCAACCCAGCGAUGGCAAUCAGUCACUCAUCUCCGCCGCGUCCGAGUCCGAGAGCUCCGAGAGGAAGAUCUGCUCCGAUAUCAAGCAGGAAUGCCUCGAGGAGGUCGAGCAGUACUGACUUGGACGAGCGUGCCAGGCGCAGCAGCGACAGCCGGCUCAUUCUUGAAAUUUACAGACAAAGCUGUAGACAUAGCAGGACACUAGGGAUUUGGCGAAAUUCUCUCGGUGGCGCGAGUGGUUGAAAUGGACAAAUGAGAUAGAUAAUAGACUAACUAACGGCAACCCACGAGAAACCCUUCAAUGGAGAUGUUGCAUUGGUGAGGGAUUUGCGAUUUGACCAUUGAUUCUUUUGUAAAAGUUGGCGAGAAACACGGUGGUGCCACUGGUUUUCUCUGAAAUCAUCUCCCAAGCUCAAAAAAGCUCUCAAGUUGAGGCCAAAAUGGAGGGGAUAUCCCACCCUACCCUGAGAGUCCACCUCUACAUCAAAACAAACUCUCCGUGCAAAGAUAGGGAGCAAAUACAUUAGCAGGGUUGCCACUUUAUUUGGGGACUCCAAAACUGAAAACACGGCAACCCUGCUAAUGUAUUUGCUUCCUUUCUUUGCAUAGAGAGUUUGUUUUGAUGUAGAGGUGGACUCUCAGGAUAGGGUGGGAUAUCCUCUCCAUUUUGACCUCACUUUGAGAGCUUUUUUUGAGCUUGGGAGAUGAUUUCAGAGAAAACCAGUGGCGCCAUCGUGUUUCUCGCCAACUUUUACAUAGGAAUCAAUGGUCAAAUCGCAAAUCCCUCACAUAUGCAACAUCUCCAUUAGUCCUUCAUUUUCUCCCUCAGUCUUUAAGAACCACCCAAAUGAAUCAAUAGGAUCGCUCCAUACUCAUUAUGCCCUCUUUGUCUAUAGCUUUGUCUAUCAAUUUUAACAUUCCAGUGGGCCGCUUAUUGAAAUUGAUAGACAGAGCAAUAGACAAAGAAGACAAAAGGUAUAUGGAGGGAUGUGAAGGGAUCUCAUCGUGGGAGGCGAGUGGUUGGAAUGCACGAAGGAGGUAGAUAAUAGACUAACUAACGGCAACUCACGAGAGACCUUUUAGUUAGUCCUCAUUUUCUCCCUUAGUCUACAAUAACCACCCAAAUUAACCAAUAAGAUCGCUUCAUAUCUAUUAUGUCCUCUUUGUCUAUUGCUUUGUCUAUCGAUUUCAAAAAUCAGCCUGCCGGGCGUUUUCUUCGGGAGAAUCUUGAGAAAUCGAAUUGAGACAAGGUUCAUGGUAACAUCCUGGAAUCCAACAAAUUCUUGAAAGACUCGAACUCGACUCUUUUGAGAAUGUCAUUUGGUUCCGUUUCGCUACCCACUGUCCGUGUCCGAAUGAUCCUCGAUGUCUCUUGUCCCUAUCUUAAUUGAAUCGGUUUCUGUUGGACGUGCGUGAGUCCAAAAACUCAUGAACCCUAGCGCCCUGCGUGAUCAACGAAAGCCAGGGCUCAUGAAUUUUCAGAAUUACUCCCAUCGAACAGAAACCGAUUCAAUUAGUAUCCGUAUAAGUCUUCACGAGCUCCACGCUGAGUGCGUCUAAAAAUUAGGCUCUGGCAUCCCAAAAUGAUGGGCUCUGACGCCCAAAAAUUAGGGGGUCAUAAAAUUAGGAUCGCUGGCUGAACGUAGAAUCUAAAUUAUGUGUUAGUAUGCAACCUUGAUUCCUGUUGCUUUCAUGCUCCUUGAAAAAUAUCCCGCUGCUACCCAAAAGUCGCGCUCUGGCCUUUAAAAUACUAAAUAUGGCGCCUGAACACUAAGUUAAUUAGCCAAAUUGCCUCUGAAAUUUCAUGGAUGAGGUUGGAGAACUGUCAUGAAUCCUCUUUUUUUGUCUUAAGAAUCCAUCAGGCAUUCUGCCCAGACUUCCAGAGCUUGAUCCUCUCUUUAUUAUUGUAUACGUUACAGAAAACAAUAUUAAUUAGGAAAAAUGCCCAAAUUUUUAUGGCGAUGUGAAUGUAAUCUACGGGUGCAAUUGUAUGGUUUAAGUUUUCCUUUAUUUCUCUUUCUCUUCCUUCUCUCUCCCUCUCCUCCCCCCCCCUCAUUUCUUAAUUUUUCGACGAGUCAAAAAGUCCUAAGCAAUAUUAAGUCAGAAUUUUGAGGGCUAUGGAACCGGAUUAAAAAUCAGGUGACUUUUCUUCCCUCAUUCCUUAAAAAAUAUACAAAGUGCAAUAUAUUUAUUAGUAGGAAACUCUUUACCUAAAAUUGAGGUUAGUUAAUUGCGUGUUCUUGCAAACUGCAGGCGGGAAUAUGAGCCUGUAGUUUUUAUUUUUAUGGAGAUUUUCAUGGGAUGAAACGGACCAAAUGUAGUUGAAGAGAAAAACACAAAAAUAAGACUAAAGUAUAGUAUCGAUAAAACUCUAUGGCAGCACCAUUUUACAGUAUUCAUGCGCAACUACAUUUUUUCGUUGUUAUUGUUGUGAAGAAAUCUUGAAACAUUCGAUAUUUAUUUGGAUGUGUUUUAAUACAUUUUUAACUUUCCACCUUCUUCAUCUUGUCUCCUUGUUUUCAUCAGCUAUAAUCUCCUUUCCUGUCUUGAGAUGAUGAUUCGCUACCCUCAAUCUUUAAAAUACACGUUAAAGCAGUGAUAUCCAUCACUAAAGGACUUAUCAUAAAUUGAACCUAUUUUAGGAGACAGGAACUAACUUUUGAAGCUUAUUUAAGAAACAACGUAACAGCCUUCAGCCUUUGAUUUACAUCUAAAGAUUAGUUCACAGGUAGUAUUCUUCAUGUAUUUUGUUCUUUUCUGCUUAAAAACUGGCCGAUGAAAGUAACGUAAAUGUCUCAAAUCUAUGAACAUUUAUCACUAUUUGAAGCUUCAUUGGUAUCUUUUCAUGUUCAUUACAUAAAAAUAAAUUAAUUAUUUUAGUUCCUUGAAAAUGUCAUCGACCUCUCAUCACCGGUGAAAAAAUAUCCUAGUUAAAUUUUUAGCAAAAGAAUUGCUUGGUUUUCGUGCAAAAAAAUAACUUGAUAUUAGAAAUUCUGGAGCACAGCAAUGAAACCACCUAUAUUUGGACGUACUUCAGCAUUAUGUGAUGUCAUAAUGUGUGGAGAAGAAGUUCUCUAGGCAGAUAUUUCUAUCCAAGUAUUUCUCCUAGAUUCUCCAAUUGUUUUAUAAGAAUAUUGUAAAUUGUAAUUAUGAUUUGGUGUAAAUACAUUUAGAUGUUUUUAUGAUUGUAUAUUUGUCUUAAAACUGAAUGAAAGAAUAUUUGUGAACAGUUUAAUGUCUAGUCUUGUAUUUUGUAAGAAAAAUUCAAAAUGUAAAUCUAAUUGAAAUACACACUAUGUUUACAUAAAAAAUAGACCGAUCUCUAUUGAAUUCAUUUAUUUUCUGUGUUUUUGUUUCCAUAUUGCUUUAGAAUCUAUUUCAUGAAAACUCAGUUAUUUUCCUCUGCAUACGGAAAGGCAAUAUCAAUGACUAAACUUGAAAAUCACACAUUUUGGUUUGCAACGUUGCAGACAUUUCCUCUCAUUAUAUGCUCAAAUUUGAGCCCUAGUCACCUCGAUUUCUCAUUGACUUUUCCGGGUCUCCUACCCUGUUAGAAGACGAAUCCGUGAAAUUUCAAUGUAUGAAGUUUGGUCCCAUUUUU